rnacentral:rRNA from 1 species
CCCUGCCCUUUGUACACACCGCCCGUCGCUAUUACCGACGAAUUAUUUAGUGAGAUCUCUGGAGGUAAACAUUGCGAUAUCUCGGUAUUGCGAUUGCUUUUGCCAAAGUUGAUCAAACUUGAUGAUUU